rnacentral:rRNA from 1 species
UACGGAGGGUGCAAGCGUUGUUCGGAUUUACUGGGCGUAAAGCGCGCGCAGGUGGGUGUACAAGUCGGAAGUGAAAUCCCAGGGCUCAACCCUGGGGCUGCUCCCGAAACUGUACGCCUAGGGACUGGUAGAGGCUGGUAGAAUUCCCGGUGUAGCGGUGGAAUGCGUAGAGAUCGGGAAGAAUACCCGUGGCGAAGGCGGCCAGCUGGGCCAGGUCCGACACUGAGGCGCGAAAGCCAGGGGAGCAAACGGG